GCAGUGCGGGUGCUAUACAUGCAAGUCGAGCGGACAGAAGGGAGCUUGCUCCCGGAUGUUAGCGGCGGACGGGUGAGUAACACGUGGGUAACCUGCCUGUAAGACUGGGAUAACUCCGGGAAACCGGAGCUAAUACCGGAUAGUUCCUUGAACCGCAUGGUUCAAGGAUGAAAGACGGUUUCGGCUGUCACUUACAGAUGGACCCGCGGCGCAUUAGCUAGUUGGUGGGGUAAUGGCUCACCAAGGCGACGAUGCGUAGCCGACCUGAGAGGGUGAUCGGCCACACUGGGACUGAGACACGGCCCAGACUCCUACGGGAGGCAGCAGUAGGGAAUCUUCCGAAUGGGACGAAAGUCUGACGGAGCAACGCCGCGUGAGUGAUGAAGGUUUUUCGGAUCGUAAAGCUCUGUUGUUAGGGAAGAACAAGUGCGAGAGUAACUGCUCGCACCUUGACGGUACCUAACCAGAAAGCCACGGCUAACUACGUGCCAGCAGCCGCGGUAAUACGUAGGUGGCAAGCGUUGUCCGGAAUUAUUGGGCGUAAAGGGCUCGCAGGCGGUUUCUUAAGUCUGAUGUGAAAGCCCCCGGGCUCAACCGGGGAGGGUCAUUGGAAAACUGGGAAACUUGAGUGCAGAAGAGGAGAGUGGAAUUUCCACGUGUAGCGGGUGAAAUGCGUAGAGAUGUGGAGGAACACCAGUGGGGCGAAGCGACUCUCUGGUCUGUAACUGACGCUGAGAGCGAAGCGUGGGGGAGCGAACAGAUUAGAAUACCCCUGGUAGUCACGACGUAAACGAAUGAGUGGCCUACUGGUAGGGGACUUCCGCCCCUUUAUUGCUUGCAGCCUACGCAAUUAGUCAUUCCGCCUUGGGGGAGUACGGCUCGCAGGACUGGAAACUCAAUGACUUGGACGGGGACCCGCCAAAUCGAUGUGACU
rnacentral:rRNA from 1 species